rnacentral:rRNA from 1 species
GCUUGUCUCAAGAUUAAGCCAUGCAUGUCUAAGUAUAAGCAUUUAUACAGCGAAACUGCGAAUGGCUCAUUAAAUCAGUUAUAGUUUAUUUGAUAGUACCUUACUACUUGGAUAACCGUAGUAAUUCUAGAGCUAAUACAUGCUAAAAGCCCAAACUUUUCGGAAUGGGUGCAUUUAUUAGAUAAAAAACCAAUGCAUGGGGGCAACUUCAUGGUAAAACUGGUGAUUCAUGAUAACUUUGCGAAUCGCAUAGCCUUGAGCUGGCGAUAAUUCAUUCAAAUUUCUGCCCUAUCAACUUUCGAUGGUAGUGUAGUGGACUACCAUGGUGAUAACGGGUAACGGAGAAUUAGGGUUCGAUUCCGGAGACGGUGCCUGAGAGAUGGCAACGACUUCCAAGGAAGGCAGCAGG